rnacentral:rRNA from 1 species
AGUGAACGCUGGCGGUAGGCCUAACACAUGCAAGUCGAACGGCAGCACAGUAAGAGCUUGCUCUUACGGGUGGCGAGUGGCGGACGGGUGAGGAAUACAUCGGAAUCUACUUUUUCGUGGGGGAUAACGUAGGGAAACUUACGCUAAUACCGCAUACGACCUACGGGUGAAAGCAGGGGAUCUUCGGACCUUGCGCGAUUGAAUGAGCCGAUGUCGGAUUAGCUAGUUGGCGGGGUAAAGGCCCACCAAGGCGACGAUCCGUAGCUGGUCUGAGAGGAUGAUCAGCCACACUGGAACUGAGACACGGUCCAGACUCCUACGGGAGGCAGCAGUGGGGAAUAUUGGACAAUGGGCGCAAGCCUGAUCCAGCAAUACCGCGUGAGUGAAGAAGGCCUUCGGGUUGUAAAGCCCUGUUGUUGGGAAAGAAAAGCAGCAGGUGAAUACCCCGCUGUUCUGACGGUACCCAAAGAAUAAGCACCGGCUAACUUCGUG